GCCUGUUUAUCAAAAACAUCGCUCCUUGUAAAAUUAAAAUAAGGAGUCGGACCUGCCCGGUGAAUUUUUAACGGCCGCGGUACUCUGACCGUGCAAAGGUAGCAUAAUAAUUUGCCUUAUAAUUGAAGGCUGGUAUGAAUGGUUUGACGAGAAUAAAGCUGUCUCUUUACAAUUUAGUAGAAAUUUAUUUAUAGAUGAAAAAGUCUGUAUAAAAUUAAAAGACAAGAAGACCCUAUCGAGCUUUAAAGAAUUUAAUAGAUUAAAAAUUAAUUAAAACUAAAAAAUUAUCUAUUAAAAAUUUUAGUUGGGGCGACUGAGGAACAAAUAAAGCUUCUUUAAAUUUUUAUUUCUUGCCCAAUUAGCCUUUGAUCCAGGAAUUCCUGAUUAAUAGAAUUAGUUACCGUAGGGAUAACAGCAUUAUCUUUUUUGAGAGCUCUUAUCGAAAAAAAGGUUUGUGACCUCGAUGUUGGACCAGAAUAUCCUAAAGAUGCAGCAGUCUUUAAGGGUUGGUCUGUUCGACCAUUAAUAUUCUACGUGAUCUGAGUUCA
rnacentral:rRNA from 1 species